ensembl:lncRNA CASC9 cancer susceptibility 9
GUCACCCCUUUCUUUGACUGGGAAAGGGAACUCCCUGACCCUUUGCGCUUCCCAAGUGAGGCAAUGCCUCGCCCUGCUUCGGCUGGCGCACAGUGCACGCACCCACUGACCCGCGCCCACUGUCUGGCACUCCCUAGUGAGAUGAACCCGGUACCUCAGAUGGAAAUGCAGAAAUCACCCGUCUUCUGCGUCGCUCACGCUGGGAGCUGUAGACCGGAGCUGUUCCUAUUCGGCCAUCUUGGCUCCUCCGAAUCUCUCUCUGUCACCCAGGCUGGAGUACAGUGGUAUGAUCUCGGCUCACUCGAACCCUCCUCCUCCCGGGUUCAAGCGAUUCUUCUCCCUCAGUCGCCCGAGUAGCUAGUACCACAGUUGUCUUUGAUAACGUAAGUCACCGUAUCGCAAGGCCCUUUGGCAAGGAAGUGAGAGCGGCCUCCUCAUAAUAGUCAGCAAGAAACUAAGGCCCUCAGCUCAACAGCCUGCAAGGAAGCAAGCCCAGCCCACAACCCUGUGAGCUUCAAAGUGGAUUCUUCUUCAGUCAGGCUUCCAGAUGACAGCCUAGCCCUUGAUCGCAGUCUGUGACAGACACUGAAGCAAAGCAUCCAACUAAACUGUGUCUGGAUUCUUGUCCCACUGGAGUUAAAAUAAUAAAUUUGCAUUAUUUAAACUGC